UCGAGAGAAAUCUAUUGGUACCAGUAUUUCUGAGUGGGGUUCACUGUAGAGAGAGAUCUUCUCCCCCAAAGAAUUCGAAUUUCAUGGAAAAUAUGGGUUUUGAUGGAGCUUGAAGCCAUGGGAGCUUGAAGCAAGCUUCUCCCUUCAUUCUAGGUGUACCUAGGGACUGUGAACGUUUGGAUUCUCGUGGAGUAUGAUAAGUAGCUUGUUCUUCAAGUAAGCAGAUUGUAAAGCUCAAAGAGGAACACAGUUAAUUGAAGAGCCUCAUGGGACAAGGACACUAACCGUGGCUAGAGGUACUAGUAUGAGGAUGUGGAGUUCUGGGUGGUCGGAUGCUACUAUUUGUUUUAGACGUAUUUUUGGAAAAGAUGUAUUGUUGCAUAGUGUUCAUAUUCGAUACAUGUACAUUUAUGUAUUCAGGCAUGAUGAUAUGACUAUGUAGUAUUCAGUUAUGUUAUGUAUUGGAUUGCAUGCUAUUAGAUUUGUGGCAC